GAAAGCGAGUAUCAGCUUUAAAGCUGGUGAAUUCAUAAGUAUUUAUGUGUUAUUGUCCUGUUUUGGAAUGUUGUUAAGAAUGUCGUAUAAAUCCUUAAAUAGAACAGUUGAUAUAAGUAUGAAAUGUGGUCUUCUACCAAGACCCGAAUGUUUUGUUAUGACCAGUAAAAUGAUAGGUUUUCCUUUCUAUUGACUAGUACUAAGAGUACUUAGUCUAACUCAUCGUUUAUGUGAAUAUAUCACAAAAUAAAGUAACAUAGGAAAAUGAUAUGAUAGUCUUCUACCAAGACCCUAAUGUUCUGUAAGUAAAAUGAUAGUUUUUCCUUUCUAUCGACUAGUACUAAGAGUACUUAGUCUAACUCAUCGUUUAUGUGAAUAUAUAACAAAAUAAAGUAAACAGGAAAAAUAUAAUCAUAUAAGUGUUAUUAUCUUGGGUUACCAGUAUAAACACGACAUCGCAGUAAGCGAUAUGUAUAACCUAAUGAACCUCCGAAGAUGGUCCAAUUGUCCUCUGUAGCAGCAGCAGGUUGGAGGAAGGGUUAGUCCCGUAAAGGUACUCCUAGUAUAAGUAAUAACCGUAGGCAUCCGUAGAUGUUCAUCGACCACUGGUACUAAUCGGUUGGGAUUCGGAAUGGUUAGUCCCGUCUAAAUAUCCCGAGGUACUGGGGGAUAGGGUCCCGUCUAAAUAUCCCGAGGUACUGGGGGAUAGGGUCCCGUCUAAAUAUCCCAAGGUACUAGGGGAUAAGGUCCCGUCUAAAUAUCCUGAGGUACUGGGGGAUAGGGAGGAUAAGUUACACAGAAGGUAGUAAUAAUCAUCCUCGCAAUUUGAGAUACAAGUAUUCUUGUAAGUAAUACACAGGUAAAUGUAUCUACAUAAAGGUACUCAUGUAAGGUAUUCAUGUAUCAUGUAAGCAUAUGUAAACAUACUCAUGUAUCAGGUAAUGUACUAGUAAAGACUCAUGAAUGAACUGACUCUUGUGUGAUUCCUUGUAAUAGGAAUUAUGUUUGAUAUCUACAAAUUAUCCCUAUGAUAAUUUACUGAAAGGUAAAUGGUUGUUCAAGUAGGUUUAUACACUCUUACUACUCAAGGGUGUGGGAAACUGAACGAAGGAUGGAAACUAUAACAUCAAUACAUACAUAUAAGAACAUAUGCGUAUAAGUGUAGUUUUAUUCAAGAAGGUAAAAUAAUGGUUUUGCAAGAUAUCUAGGAGUUUUGCACAAUAAUUAAGGAUGACUUGAUGUCAUUUUAAUAAACAUUUCAAAACUAAUACUUUUGUUAUCAAGGUAUUUUAAGAUAGAAACCAUUUCGUGUGACACCUUUUGAAAUAUGUGACAUCUACUGAGUGAAAACACAGUUAUAAAAUACAUAAGAUUGAUUUAAUAACUUACUGUUUUCUACUUGUAUUCCCCUCCCAUCAAGGCAUAUAAAAUCAUUUAAAACAUUGAUUAAGGGGUAUGAACUCACCUGUAGUUAGUAGUUCAAAUGAACUGGACGGUGUAGGAUUGUUAGGCGUCAAGUGAGGACUUGUACACACACAACGAUCCUAAUGAACAUAUAAUCACACAUAUAUGCACUCAAUUAGUCUCAAAUUACUAAUUGAUAAUGUUAAGACAUCCUAGACAUAAUAAACACUUUAUAUAAGUGUUUUAAGCCCUAAGGAUUGCAUCUAAGCUAUUGUGGGACAAGGCACUUGUGUUUAGGGUUCCAAAGGACCCCAUAUAUGAGUUUACUCCUCAUAUACCAUCACACAUGGACUUUACGGUUGUAAACUCUUGAGUUUACGGCCGUAAACUCGAAGACUCAAUGUCUUUGGUUGUUUUUGUUGGAUUAAUGUCUAAGUCCAUAACUAUAAUUGGUAAGACUUGACCCGACCCGGCAUGGUCCAUUUGGGUUGCAUACCAUCAUGCACUUGGAUGAGAGAAAUAAGACACUUAUGGUUAUUAAUAUAUUAUAAGUUCUAGUAUAUUAAUAAUAAGAAUAAUAAGAUUAUUUAAUUAGUAUUGAUCAAGAAUUAAUCUAGGAUUAAUUAAGUGAUCAAAAGAAGACUAAUUAAAUAUAUGGGUUGAUUGUGUAAAUCAUCCAUACUUGUAUAGUGGGCUAAUGCUCCAUGGAUAAUCAAGUUGGGCUAAAACCCAUAGGAUGGUCCAUGGAUGCUCCAUGGUGUAUUUGUACCCAUGGAUCCAAGGAAAUGGAAAGCCAUGACAAUUAAGAGUUUACCCUAAUUGUGUAACUAUAUAAGCAUCUUAUUAUUGAGGAAAAAUCGGCCACUAGAGAUAGUGAAGAAAGGGCUAGCCGAUUUUGAAGAGUGUAGAAUUCUCUCAAAUCAUUCCAAGUGUUUUGAUGAUUGUGAUUCCAUUUGAGGUGUCACACUUGGGGCACUAGGCACUCUAGCUUCAUGAAGACUUUCCUCUCCAAGAGGUAUGUAUUCUAUCUUGCUAUAGUCAUUGUUUUGUAUGCUAGAUUAGGAUAAUACCUUGGAAGUUCUUAUUUGCAUGUAUAAUAGAGAAAACAUAGAUCCAAGGUAUUUAGGGUUGCAUGUACACUUAGGAGUAUUAGAAUGCUCAAAACCCAACAGUUUUAAGGUGUUAAAUAAUCCCUAGAAUUAUCCCAACUGGGUGGUUAAGUCCGUGGAAGGCUUUAAGGCCUAGAAACACUCCCUAGAGGAGUUUACGGCCCCAAGGCCAUUUCAUUUGGAGUUUACGGCCGUAAACUCCCUUGGAAUGGUGUUUUUGUUGUUUUCAUGUCUCUUGCAUUUGAAGGAUAGGUUCUAGACAUUUGUUUAAAGCUAAUGAGCACCCUAGGCACACUUUAGUGCCCUUGUUUGGUGUUUACGGCCUAGGAGCAUUACCAAGGCCGUAAACUCACUUCAAGAGGUGGUUUUGAUGUGGUUUUGCCCUUUAAUUAAGUGGGAAACAAUUCCAUGUAAAGGUUUAGGGCUUUAGGUGUAUUAAAAACACCCUUUGGUCCAUUUCUUAUGGAGUUUACAGCCUAACAUACACUUGGGCCGUAAACUCUCAUUUGUUUGUGUUCUUUGAUUGUUUUCUUGUCCUUAAUACACCUACAAUCGAGUCUAGGGUAGUAGCAUAACACAAGGAAAAGUCUAGGCUCGGUUUCGGGAGUUUACCGCCCAAGAACACCUUGGGGAGUAAACUCCUAGAUCUAAUGAUUUAGCCAUCUAAAUCAUGUUAUAAGCACAUAACAAGCUUUCUAACACUACUAGAAAGAGUUACUCAUGAUUUGGGAUAAAAACCCGAAUAUCCAUGAGAGAGAAAAUGGCUUUUCUCUAGUUGGAAAUGCGAAUAAUGAAUGAAUUUGGUUCAGAAUUCUAUUUAUAGUCCUGAGAUAUUUCUGGCAGAAAAUAUUUUCAUUCCUGAAAUGAUCUCUAAUAUAAUAGAUUGUUGGAAUAACAGUGUUGCACAAAACCCUAGUGCACCCACUCUCCUGAUAUCUCCUUUAGUGUAAAUCCUGAAAACUGCCAAACUUAUACCCGAAGUCUGGAAUUUCCCUGAAACUGUUAUAAGCUCUAUUGUCUUGAUAUGGGUGGUUCAUAAUGGAAAUUUCGGUUUGUCACAUCAUCCCCCUGUUAAAGGGAAUUUCGUCCCGAAAUUAGAAUUUAGAUAAGGAAGUAGGUAUAAAUGAUCGAGUCGUUAGGUGAAAACUUCCUUAUCGAUUUUCUCCCGCGCUUCCAAGUGAAAUCAGGUUCUUAGUUGGUAUUUCAACGAACCUUCACUAAUGGGCGACGACGUUGCUUCCUCCGCUUGGCCACUCGGUCGAGGGUCACUACGGUUCUAAUAUGAAGGAAAGGAUCUUGUAGAUCUCGAUCUCGUCGAGACGGAUUACGAAAGUCCUAAUGGAAGGAUACUGUUUCAAGUUCGAGACGCGAAGGGGAAAAUUUACUUUACUGAGUUCGCGGAGUAGGUCUAGUUUGUGAAAUGCAGGACCGAUUCUGGUAAGAAUCUCAGACGUCCUAACUAUAUUGGACUUUAGCUUUCCACGCUUUACGAAGCGUAUUAAGCCGUUCCCAGAGUGAGGUUUCCUAAAGAAUUUGGUCUCUCACUUGGAAUUCCCAAUUGUUCUUUCUCUCGCUUACUUCCCAGUCAAGGGCCAUCCCUUGCUGGGUCAAAGUCGAAAGGGUUCCUGAAGUUUACGGGGAGUUCUGAAUGGACUAUGAUAGUAGGUCUGUAAGACCUAGAAUUUGGCAAAUUUUCCGUCGGUGACUAUGGUGCCGACAUAUUCCCAACAGUUUUGGAUAAUUUGACAGAGUACUCAAGAAUUUCCACAACACUAAUAGUGUGUCUCAGGAAAUUUGACUCUAAUUUCCAAAACUCUUGAUUAGAGAACUUUGCGAAAAGUAUCUCCAAGGGUAAUGUUUCCAUGGGUUCUUUCUUACUACGAGGGUAGAUAAGUAGUCAUUAUAUGGAGAAAUGACGAACUGAUCCCAGUAAGAAAGGCAUACUCCAGUCAUUUAGUUCAUGAAUACUAUGGGCGUAUUGGUCCUAUCCGAGGGGUAUCACUACGGACUCGAAGUGUCCGUAUCGAGUUCGGAGGGUAGUCUUUAGGACACCCUUCCCUAACACUCAAACGGGUGAUAUUCGGAUCUCAGGUCCAUUUCUGAAAGUAACACUCUCCUUGUGGUUGCUCAAUCCACUCGUCUAUGCGAGGAAGAGACAACGGUUUCUAAGGAAAUCUUAAUGAAGUUUUCGGUCGUCGAGGUACAUAAGAUGCACUCCGUCGACUUCUGGUAAAGAUAAGACCAGAGCUCUCAAGGGUAAGAAGCAUGGUCCCUUAAUUCUAUUGUUGAGUAGUUCAUUGUGUUGUCCGGGCUGGUCUUGUAUCUUCCGUAGGUGUUUAGACUGAAGGCGAUCUGGUUAUAAGAGUCAUACUGGGUUCUAAGUUUGUUCCUAUGCCAAUGCAAUUACUCGUACUCCUGGACAGUCUCCGUCCUGAAGUUCAUAUUAGAAUUCAUACGUGAUUCAAUGAUCACAAUUUCGUGUAUACGAGUCGUAUAUAAUUAAGACUGAAAAGGUAGUCGAAUAACUGAUUCUUCCUUAAUCUCACAUCCCAUCAAGGGAAAAGAACUUAAAGUGGAAUCAUCAAUUCUAAACCUGUAGAACAUUGAUUAUAUAUCACUCUCAUGUAUACAUCCUUCAGUGAUAGAUCAACCGUAUGAAUCCUGGAAUUGAACUUGACGUACUGCACGAGUAAUACUGUGGGGAUUCCUUCGGAAAUGAAAGGAACUAAUAAGGUACUCCUUGUAUGAGUACUUCGGUGUUCUGAUAUGACGGCUUCGCUAAAAGACGAUUUCUGAGGUAGAGAUGCACGUAUGGAACUGGUAUUGCGAGGAUCAAAUUUACUCGAGUCGUAUGAUAAAGUCGGAAACAUAUGGAAACUAAAGACAUUAGAUUUGAACAUAAGGUGCUACAGACAAAACACAACAGUGCAACCGUUAACAGAGUUGCUGUACUUAGGAUUUACUACAAGACUAUUGCUGCGAACAAGGUAUACUAUAAAAGACAAGUAUACGCAGCACGAGCAUCCCUAAACGGACAGGAUCCCGCAAAAAAUAAGACUCUGGUUGCACUAGUUUUGGGAUGGUUCAUAAGUCUGUUACAACGAAACGUCUAAAUUACAUUAACGUGGGUCCAGAGUAGACUCUCCUACGGCGGUGGUCGGUAGCAUACUGCCGUGUGUGCCAGCAUUUGCUGCCUCUGGGUAGUUCCUUUUGUAAUGACCUACAUUGCCACAACCGUAGAAAACCUGGUUCCCACUGGUGUUUGGCACUUGAGCGUCGUGAGCUGUUGGCGUCCUGCUGAAACGGGCUGUAUGCCCUUUCUUGUUGCAGUGUGAGCACUGCAUCUCCCUACAAGGUCCAUGGUGGUGAAAACCGCAUUUAAUGCAUUUUGGGAGACUCCUAACAUAAAGUUUGGCUGGUUUGGGGACCAUUGGGACGCUCGAAGGGAUGGUAGUAGGAGAUACUGAUGUCGUAGCUAUGAAGGUUGUUACUGGUGGUUGUUUCUUGUUCGCCCUUCGAAGCAACUAGUCCUUAUAGUUAGUCCAAGACUUUCGUUUGAUACUCUUGGUCUUAGGACUCGGGGUAUCGUGGUAGUUUGUUUCUUGCUGGGGUACUGGAUUGUUACUUGGAUGGGAAUAGUUGUUAACAAUCCCGCUAACACUUGCGUUGUUAGCGUUCAGAUGGUUCAGAAUGGCUGACACGGCAGCCGAGAUUGCAGCUCGAAAGGUAGCUGCAUCAAUCUGAAGAGUUGGCGUUUGGUUGAUGGGCUGAUCACUUUUCUUGGGAGAAAUGAUUCUGUUACACCAAAAGAAAAAUGAAUUUGUGAGCGAGAAUGGUUGAACCUAGACGUAGUUCGAUCGCUCAUGAAAAGAAUAGAAGUAUGUUCUCUAAAGUUCGUCCUACAUCCCUAUGAUGCAGUCCUAGUAUGGAAUGGAAGUACGUUCUUAAAACGGUCUCAAGAUGUUUGUUGUUCGAGCCGAGGUAUUAUUGGUUGGUGAAUAACAUGAUCCAACCAUUACCAGAGACUUGGAGAUGUCGCCGGGGUUAAAUUGCUAUAGUCUAAUGACUUGACUAGAGCAUGUUUCAAAUAGACUCUAAAGAAAGUAUGAUAAGAGUAUUCGAAUAAAGAACGACACAGAAGUUAGCCGACUGUCAAUAUCUUUGAUAUUCAUGACGUACAAGUUCGGGAAAAUGACCUUGUAAAAAGGUCUUACAUCAUAACCAGAGAAGAUAGUUCCUGACAGUAAAAAGACCUAACCAAAGUACUUACAGUACAAGAUAGUUUCAUAGAAAAUGCCACAUCGGGCAUAGACAGAAGGACGAUUCCUUUCUAACAAGGAAAGUAAAGUAAAGUAUCUACUACUGGCGAUGGUCAUCCCUCUGGUGAACUCUCAGUUCAGCCAGUUGGCGUUCCACAUCAAGUAGGUGUCUUUCGUAUACUCUCUGGCGUACUUGAAGUUCCAUGACUUCGGUUCGUGAUUCAGCCAGUGCUUGCAGCAGGGUUUCAUAGUCUCUUUCAGACCUCUCACAAGCAUGUUCAAGGAGACUGGUGCGAAGCAUAUGCAUUCCUCCAUUUGUAUCGACUUCUGUGAUACGUUAUAGAGCUGUCCUGCCCUGAAUUUUGCUUCGGGCAACUCUCCGGAUCAGAAUUGGCAUGAUUUUGUCUGCUGAGCCCCCAUUGCUCAGAUCAUAGAAGCUUCGGUCACCAUUAAAUGGCAUGGGCUGAUCUUGUCCUUGGCUCCAUGUUUCCAAACAUUCCACCCACUCAGGCGUCGGGCCAUGAAAAUCCAGACGAGGGUUAGGAAUUGGAAAGGGAGCUGCCUGAGGUAGGUUCUCAACCUCGGGCUCGGAGAUGGCAUCGUCUGAAAGGUCUUCUGCAUGGUGAUCAUUCAUAGGGAUUGGAUGAUCAUUAUCUAGUUCUUCUCCAAACCAUCUAGCAAUAACUGUGUUCGGAAGGAACAGGUUGUCGUCGGGAUGGAAUCCAGCCAUUUUAUCUACGCGAGAAUUUUGGGUAAGAAAAUAAUUAUUAGACGAACUAUCUAGAUAAUUAUUUAGGAAAUCUUCAUUAGUUCCAUCGCUAUUUGUAAAGUGCUUACCAGUUAUAUGUAAUCAACACAGGAUAGACCUUCGAAUAAGUGACCUCAACUCCAAAUUCACAAGGAAUAGGAGUAAAGCAAAAAUUUCACCGAUUCUAAGUCUAUAACAUCCUAGUUACGUAUAACUUUAGCGUAUCCACUUAGCAAUUAUCAACUUAGGAAUGAAGAUUCCAUUUUAGUUCUCAAGUAUAUAGUAAUUAUAGUAACACAAAACACCCCUAUGGUAUUUUAGACUUAGGUUCUGCUAUAAUGUUCUCAUUGUGGUAAUGUUGGUAAGUUUUUAGACUUGUUGCCAUAUCACAACCAUUCUUUGGCAUGUGCUAAUCACUCCUCGGAACAGCAUAGUUGAUCAGGCUAUGCCAUUCCCAAGACUGACCAUACAUCCCCGAGCUUACCUGUGAUAUUCAACAAUCGUAAUACUUUUGUUCUUGUCAUUGUGACACUGAUUUUAGCAUGAAUGCAGGCACGUAUACUUUGUUAAAUAUUUUAUUAUUUAAAAGUAUAUUCUCUUAGACAGAGUGUUUUAAUCCCAAUGUAUUUAUAGUUAGUAUAUCUUUUAUGGGUUGAUAUACUUUAUUCACUAUAAACAAUGCUCUGAUACCAAUGUGUCACACCCCAAAACCACGAACGGCGGAAACGUUCAGGGGUGGAGGACGUCAUGUACAGUAUCACAACAGUGUAAUAUAAUAAACAAGCAACAACAUCAUCCAUUGCAUUAUAAGUAGAGUUUUAAUACAUGUGUGUUCUUUCAUAAUGUACGACAAUAAAAUGAAUAAUCAAAAUAAGGCGAGUCUUGUCUGUGCUCCAUCUUCUCCGGUAACAUGGCCAUCGCACCUGUCUAACUGAUGACCUGAGAAUACAAGUUAUUUUGAAAGCGAGUAUCAGCUUUAAAGCUGGUGAAUUCAUAAGUAUUUAUGUGUUAUUGUCCUAUUUUGGAAUGUUGUUAAGAAUGUCAUAUAAAUCCUUAAAUAGAACAGUUGAUAUAAGUAUGAAAUGUGGUCUUCUACCAAGACCCGAAUGUUUUGUUAUGACCAGUAAAAUGAUAGGUUUUCCUUUCCAUUGACUAGUACUAAGAGUACUUAGUCUAACUCAUCGUUUAUGUGAAUAUAUCACAAAAUAAAGUAACAUAGGAAAAUGAUAUGAUAGUCUUCUACCAAGACCCUAAUGUUCUAUAAGUAAAAUGAUGAUUUUUCCUUUCUAUCGACUAGUACUAAGAGUACUUAGUCUAACUCAUUGUUUAUGUGAAUAUAUCACAAAAUAAAGUAAACAGGAAAAAUAUAAUCAUGUAAGUGUUAUUAUCUUGGGUUACGAGGAUAGACACGACAUCGCUGUAAGCGAUAUGUAUAACCUAAUGAACCUCCGAAGAUGGUCCAAUUGUCCUCUGUAGCAACAACAGGUUGGAGGAAGGGUUAGUCCCGUAAAGGUACUCCUAGUAUAAGUAAUAACCGUAGGCAUCCAUAGAUGUUCAUCGACCACUGGUGCUAAUCAGUUGGGAUUCGGAAUGGUUAGUCCCGUCUAAAUAUCCCGAGGUACUGGGGGAUAGGGUCCCGUCUAAAUAUCCCGAUGUACUGGGGGAUAGGGUCCCGUCUAAAUAUCCCGAGGUACUGGGGGAUAGGGAGGAUAAGGUACACAGAAGGUACUAAUAAUCAUCCUUGCAAUUCGAGAUACAAGUAUUCUUGUAAGUAAUACACAGGUAAAUGUAUCUACGUAAAGGUACUCAUGUAAGGUAUUCAUGUAUCAUGUAAGCAUAUGUAAACGUACUCAUGUAUCAGGUAAUGUACUAGUAAAGACUCAUGAAUGAACUGACUCUUGUGUGAUUCCUUGUAAUAGGAAUUAUGUUUG
rnacentral:lncRNA from 1 species